UACAGAGGGGGCGAGCGUUGUUCGGAAUUACUGGGCGUAAAGGGCGCGUAGGCGGUCCGGUAAGUCCGCUGUGAAAGUCGGGGGGCUCAACCCUGGGAUGCCGGUGGAUACUGUCGGGCUCGAGUCCGGAAGAGGAGUGUGGAAUUCCUGGUGUAGCGGUGAAAUGCGCAGAUAUCAGGAGGAACACCAAUGGCGAAGGCAGCACUCUGGGACGUGACUGACGCUGAGACGCGAAAAGCGUGGGGAGCAAACAGG
rnacentral:rRNA from 1 species